AAGCUAAAAGAAAGGAUGACAGUUCAAGCUCGGAUAUCCACAAAGGCUGAGCAAAAAAAGGCGAGUAUAAUCGUUAUCAUAUUGCUACGAACAACUUCAUUGAAGUUUCCAUUCCGAAGGGAUUGUCAGAAACUGGUCUAAAUCAUGCCUCAUGAAAAAAUGUAUCCUAAUUUAAUUUUUUAAAAUUUCGUAGCAAGACUUACAUUAAAAUGAUGAAAGAAUCUAGAUGAAAACGAAAGAUCGUAAUCGUGAAAGUGCUUAAUCUUGGCGACCCUUAACAAGUCGUUUGAUACAUUUGUCUGCGGUGAUAACAUAAACGACACAGCCCCAUCCACUAAUACAAUCACGAUCUUGGGCGUUAAGUAAAGCUUGGGAGAUAGUCUCAAAGAGAUCGUCAGGCUCUAAAUUGGGCUCGUAUACAGACUCACACAUACCAUAAAGUUGUUCUGUAGCGGUUCCAGAAACGAUGAAAUCCUCUGCAAAAUCGAUGCAUCCAAUGGAAUCGAAUCCACAGAUAAACGGGGUAUUGUCAUUAGAUACACCAGCAACUACUGGGAAUGAGAAAUAGGGACCAAAUCUUUUUUCGUAAAGGGUGGAAGAAACCAAAUUAGCAAAUGUCUUGGGUUGAAUUUGACGCUCUUCGCGGAAUUUGUAAAGGUUCACUUUGUACCGAAAUAACUCAUAAAGCGUCUGAACAUCCGUAGCAAGACCCGUCAGUCCCAAAUACGUUUUGUCACCCAUCGCAAACACCUUAGGAAAGUUGUUGGUCAAAGAAAUUGACUGAACACCCAACCGCAAGUCCGAUGCAAUAGCCACGCAGUUUUUACCUGCCAUGGCUACGCAUGAACCACCAUUAUAUUCCAUAAUACUCAUUUUGUAGGAUUCACUGUUUGUAUGAGGAAAGGUUCUUGCUGACAAAAGAAGCACACGAAUAACCACAGAUGAUAUGUUAUCGCGAGCGCACAAUAACCAAAUACCGUAUUGGAUAGGAUGCGAUAGUUUGAUUUACCGUAUGUUUAGCGAUGCAAGGAGUAUAUCGUAUUACUAGAGCCCUUCCUUUAAAAAAUCACUAUUGACUUUUUACGAUAUCCAUAAUAAAGAGGUAUAAGAAGUGAAAAUGAUAGAUCGUAAAGUUCACAAUAAAAAGGUGUUCAGAGGUAUCACUUAGACUAUUGAAUAAUAUUUAAUGAGAGAAGAAUAAGUCUCCCUGAAAUAGCUUCCUCUAACGAGAAUGUUGGAAUGGCACUAGUGCUGCUACGCUUUGGCUGUGCCAUACUGCCACGUCGUAGUCUGUGCAUUACCGAGCGAUCACAUUUUAAAGGAAUAUCAAGCGAACUUCAAUCUAACUACUUUGGCACCACCAGCGUAGCAAAUAUCUUCAACAACCAUUUCAUCAGUCUCUGCGAUCUAGCAACAGCAAGAUAGCUUGAGAAGGAAUAACGGCGCACAUGCUCGACAUACCCUUGUAAAAACUCAAUAAACCGAUCAUUUCAUUUUAUCAGUGUACAUUAAACUGCGUUAGCUGCGCUUUAGAAGAAAGUAGUCUAAGAGAAUUAAAAGUAAAUAAUGCCAUAUAGCUAACUCGAUGAAGGAUUGUUAGGACUGUAAUC